rnacentral:rRNA from 1 species
CGGAUUGUAGGCUGAAACUACGCCUACAUGAAGCUGGUGUUGCUAGUAAUCGCGAAUCAGCAUGUCGCGGUGAAUACGUUCCCGGGCCUUGUACACACCGCCCGUCACACCAUGAGAGUUGGCAAUACCCAACGUACGUGAUCUAACCCGCAAGGGAGGAAGCGUCCUAAGGUAGGGUCAGCGAUUGGGGUGAAGUCGUAACAAGGUACC